GGUGAAUUUGGACAUAUUCAAAA
rnacentral:piRNA from 1 species